UACGGAGGGUGCAAGCGUUAAUCGGAAUCACUGGGCGUAAAGCGUGCGUAGGCGGCCUGUCAAGUCAGGUGUGAAAGCCCUCGGCUUAACCGAGGAAUUGCACUUGAAACUGAUGGGCUGGAGUUCUGGAGAGGGUGGCGGAAUUCCCGGUGUAGGAGUGAAAUCCGUAGAUAUCGGGAGGAACACCAGUGGCGAAGGCGGCCACCUGGACAGUAACUGACGCUGAGGUACGAAAGCGUGGGGAGCAAACAGGAUUAGAUACCCUGGUAGUCCACGCUGUAAACGAUGGAUGCUAGGUGUCGGGCAGCAAUGUUCGGUGCCGUAGUUAACGCGUUAAGCAUCCCGCCUGGGGAGUACGGUCGCAAGGCUGAA
rnacentral:rRNA from 1 species